UACGUAGGGUGCGAGCGUGUCCGGAAUUAUUGGGCGUAAAGAGCUCGUAGGCGGUGUGUCACGUCGGCCGUGAAAACCUGCAGCUUAACUGUGGGCGUGCGGUCGAUACGGGCAUCACUGGAGUUCGGCAGGGGAGACUGGAAUUCCUGGUGUAGCGGUGAAAUGCGCAGAUAUCAGGAGGAACACCGGUGGCGAAGGCGGGUCUCUGGGCCGAUAUUGACGCUGAGGAGCGAAAGCGUGGGGAGCGAACAGGG
rnacentral:rRNA from 1 species